rnacentral:rRNA from 1 species
CCUACGGGAGGCAGCAGUGGGGAGUUUUGGACAAUGGGGGCAACCCUGAUCCAGCCAUGCCGCGUGUGUGAAGAAGGCCUUCGGGUUGUAAAGCACUUUCGGACGGAACGAAAUCGCGCGGGUGAGCAAUCCGCGUGGAUGACGGUACCGUAGGAAGAAGCACCGGCUAACUACGUGCCAGCAGCCGCGGUAAUACGUAGGGUGCGAGCGUUAAUCGGAAUUACUGGGCGUAAAGCGUGCGCAGGCGGCGCCGCAAGUCAGGCGUGAAAUCCCCGAGCUUAACUUGGGAAUGGCGCUUGAAACUACGGUGCUGGAGUGUGGCAGAGGGAGGUGGAAUUCCACGUGUAGCGGUGAAAUGCGUAGAGAUGUGGAGGAACACCGGUGGCGAAGGCAGCCUCCUGGGCCAACACUGACGCUCAUGCACGAAAGCGUGGGGAGCAAACAGGAUUAGAUACCCUGGUAGUCCACGCCCUAAACGAUGAUGACUAGUUGUUGGGGGAGUUAAAUCCCUUAGUAACGCAGCUAACGCGUGAAGUCAUCCGCCUGGGGAGUACGGUCGCAAGAUUAAAACUCAAAGGAAUUGACGG